GUUUGUGCCUUGACUGACUAAGUCGUGACCCGUUAUAUGUGUGAAGUUUGUGCAAAUAAGUAUGUAGUCUGUGUCGUAUAUUAUCUACUCGACGGUGUUCACCAAGACACUUUUUCUACAUAUUUACUUCCGUGAGCAACUUGACAUAUGUCUACCCAAAGUUCGUCUGCCAGAGUUGUUUACGUGUGUGUAGUAGCUUCACGUGUUCACGUUAGCUCGCUAGCCUGCUAUUCUGUUAGCAUUCAUUAACAAAGUGAAUGGACUCUUAGCCACCGUAAUGCUAACCCAGCUCAUACUAUAGGAUCUAGCUCAGUGAUUCCAACGUGGGAACCUGGAGUGCUAUGAGAUACUAAGGCAACUUUUAAAAUUAAGUGAACUCCGGGGGAGAAACCACGCCAUCGUUGAAUCACCUGGACCUUCACUGGAGGCAGAGAGACUGGUAAAAGCUGCAGACUGGCCACUGAACUCCUAAUGAAGAUGGCUGUGCAGGCUGAAAGCUUUCCAAGGAGCAGAGGGAUGCGCUACUUUAUUCUCUGAUAAUUGCAAACGCCUGUGAUAACAAUGUCCAUUGGCCUGAACUGCCACAACAGAAACUCUCACUGGGAGGGUGAGAGAUGCUAGCACUGACUGGGAUCUGAUCCCUCGCUGGCCUCCCACCAUGUCUAUUGUUUUAGACCAGAGGCUGAACUCCAGGUCCCUGCAGCAGUGGCCUCACCCGGCACUCUGCUGUAAGACUGGACUUCCUUCCCUGUACACCGCCUCUCCCUGCUGCCUACAACUACUCCAGCCCACUGCACUUUGUCGCUGCCUUUAGCAGCCUGACUCCCCUGGUCCGGUUUAUCUCUCUGCUGCCUGCCCUACUCCUCUGCUGCCUCAAUGCCCCAGUCCAAUCUCCUCUCCUGCUUAGUUCGACAGUAAACAAUUCCUGUCAAGUGUUCAAACUGUCUCUGAGUCUCGAGUCUACAUUUGAGUCCAGAAGAGAUUCACUGAAUAGAACGGAAAAUGAUAACUGCUUUAAUCAAAAUACCAUUGGAUUUUUUCAAAUCUUGGAUGGACUAUAUUUGCAUACAUAGGGAUUUAUUAACACGUUUUAACUGCUUCAAUGAAAUGCAAUUCCCACAACUUGCUUUUCCAUGCUACAGUUCACUGUAAAAAAAUGUAUUAUAAUAAAAUAAAAAAUAAAUAAAAAACUGGACAAGUAACCACUCCAGGGUUCUUUGUGGCUGCUCCUGUCAAAGCAUUCCUGGGGUAUUGUCAGUUCCCAAACUCUGUGACCCUGAGAAGAAAUAAGAAGGUAUAACAAUGAAAGAAAUAAUAAGUGAAUGAACCAAUGGAAUACUCACACACAUAAAAUCACUUAGAGAACUAAACUGCAGGUUAUUCGACUGUACCGUCAUGCACUGGCUCUAUUGUUGCAUUAAAAUUGAGACACCUGGGGCGACCCGAUGGCCGAGUGGUUAGGGCGCAUACCACAUGGGUGUAAAAUCCCCUCAGCAGUAGGACCCCAUUUCAACUCUGAAGAAAAAAAAAAUUGAGAAACCUGGAAGUCAAUGUGCUUUAAAAAGAAAAAAAAAAAGUUUCAGAAGUUGUUUUGCAGUGAGCCAAAAAUGCUGUGUGCAUAACGGCCUAGUGGAAAGCAUUCUAUCUUUUUGGCCAUGAUGUGUGAUACAGUAGCCUGAACAUUGAGAGGAGAAACAAGCUGCAGAAAAUAAUGAACAUGGCCUCUGAAAUCUUAGGAAAGCCACAAAAGCAGCUAAGUAGUAUGUAUGAUGAACUCUUAAGAAGUAAAGCUGACAGAAUUAUUAAUGAGCCGUCUCAUCCGCUGUACAGUGGAUAUGAACUUUUAUCCUCAGGGAGACGUAAGGUCACUGAUGGCUAAUAGAAAUAUCCACAAGAAAUCCUUUGUCCCAAAUGCUGUCAAGGUAAUAAAUGAAACAGGAUGGCGCUCCUGACUUUACUGUAGUUUUUUGCACGGUAGGUUAAUGAGAUAUGGUGUAUGGAGUAGAUUUAUGUACUGCGAGUUGUAUUUUAGGUUGUUUUUUUAAUGCCAUUUCUUAUGGUGAAACCAAAGGCAAAUCUCCACAUUGUGCAUAAUGAAGUUUUUUUUUUUUUUUUAAGUUACUAAAUCUUUCAAAUCAUGUAAACCUGCCAGGACAAAAAAAAAAAAAAAGGAAAGAAAAGAAAACAAACAAACAAAAAAAAAACCUUUUCACCCUUGACUUCCAUAUCGCUCAACAUCAUUGUUAAUUAACUCGGAGUGUUAAAAUCAACACUGUGCUGGUGUUUAUGCAAAAUUUAUGUAACACUCAGUGGCCCUAGAGCCAUAUCCACCCUGUUAAUGUACCACCAACCCUCCAAUCAACACUUGUCAUCUCAAAAUAAGUACUACUGGAUAAGCGCUUCAUGUAAGACACUGAGAUUUCUGGACUCACCAAAUCUCUCCCUCCAGGAUUAUUUUUUGCAGCGGAGGUCUCAAGCAGCAGGGUGCCCUUGUAUCUUUCAGUUUUAUAUGGACCAUGACUGCCAGGCCAGAUCCUAACUGGUCUGGUUCUUAACAUUGAGGAGCCCGAUACCCAAGGUUUUCCCCCAGGACCUGAACAAAAUGAAGCAGUUCCACACUGUACCUGUAGGCACUUUAAGCAGCAGUGUUGUGUCGAAAAACUGUAAUCUUAACCCUAAACCUCCUGGGGCAAAAAGAGUCAGACCAGUGGUUGGCAUAGUGAGGACAAUGGCCAUUGAUACAGUAUAUACUCAUGGCCACAGCACGGCCUGGGGGGGUCAGAAACCGCAUAUU